rnacentral:rRNA from 1 species
UACGUAGGGUGCGAGCGUUGUCCGGAUUUAUUGGGCGUAAAGGGCUCGUAGGCGGCGUGUCGCGUCGGGGAGUGAAAGCCCGUUGCUUAACGGCGGGUUGGCUUUCGGUACGGGCAUGCUGGAGUGCGGCAGGGGAGACUGGAAUUCCUGGUGUAGCGGUGGAAUGCGCAGAUAUCAGGAGGAACACCGAUGGCGAAGGCAGAUCUCUGGGCCGUAACUGACGCUGAGGAGCGAAAGCAUGGGGAGCGAACAGG